GUAGGUGAACCUGCAGAAGGAUCAUUAGUGAAGAUUUGGGCAGGCCAUACGGACGCCACAAAGUGUCCCUGGCCGCCUACACCCACUAUACAUCCACAAACCCGUGUGCACUGUCCUUGGAAAGGGCAUUUGGAGAGAAAAAGGAAGAGAAGCGAGAACAGUGCGAUCCGUCGCGUUGGGCGUUGAUCUCUGACUUGGUCUCUCUGAGGCCCUUUCCUCGCUACAAACUCGAAUGGUUAGUAUGAACGUG
rnacentral:misc_RNA from 1 species